UACGGGGGGGGCAAGCGUUGUUCGGAAUUACUGGGCGUAAAGGGCUCGUAGGCGGCCAACUAAGUCAGACGUGAAAUCCCUCGGCUUAACCAAGGAAGUGCAUCCGAAACUGCAGUGCUUGAGUACUUAAGAGGAUCGCGGAAUUCCCGGUGUAGAGGUGAAAUUCGUAGAUAUCGGGAGGAACACCAGUGGCGAAGGCGGCGAUCUGGGAAGAUACUGACGCUGAGGUGCGAAAGCGUGGGGAGCAAACAGG
rnacentral:rRNA from 1 species